rnacentral:rRNA from 1 species
AUACGGAGGGUGCAAGCGUUAUCCGGAAUCAUUGGGUUUAAAGGGUCCGUAGGCGGACUAUUAAGUCAGAGGUGAAAUCCCACAGCUCAACUGUGGAACUGCCUUUGAUACUGGUAGUCUUGAGUUAUAUGGAAGUAGAUAGAAUGUGUAGUGUAGCGGUGAAAUGCAUAGAUAUUACACAGAAUACCGAUUGCGAAGGCAGUCUACUACGUAUACACUGACGCUAAGGGACGAAAGCGUGGGGAGCGAACAGGAUUAGAAACCCGAGUAGUCC